rnacentral:rRNA from 1 species
GAUGAACGCUAGCUACAGGCUUAACACAUGCGAGUCGCGGGGCAGCAUGGGGGUUGCUUGCAACUCCCGAUGGCGACCGGCGCACGGGUGAGUAACGCGUAUCCAACCUGCCCUUCACCACGGGAUAACCCGGCGAAAGUCGGACUAAUACCGUAUGUUGUCCAUUGACGGCAUCCGAUUUGGACGAAAGGCUUUGCGGUGAAGGAUGGGGAUGCGUCCGAUUAGCCAGACGGCGGGGUAACGGCCCACCGUGGCUACGAUCGGUAGGGGUUCUGAGAGGAAGGUCCCCCACACUGGAACUGAGACACGGGCCAGACUCCUACGGGAGGCAGCAGUGAGGAAUAUUGGUCAAUGGGCGUAAGCCUGAACCAGCCAAGUAGCGUGCAGGAUGACGGCCCUAUGGGUUGUAAACUGCUUUUAUGCGGGGAUAAAGUGGCCCACGUGUGGGCUUUUGCAGGUACCGCAUGAAUAAGGACCGGCUAAUUCCGUG